ACUCAUAAUCCCUAUCACCUAUUUCACCCAUCCCCCUACCCACCUCCUCUCUGGCAAUCCUCUGUUCUCCAUAGUUAAGAGUCUGUUAUUUGAGGGGUGCCUGGGUGGCUUAGCCAGUUGGGCAUCUGACUCUUGAUCUCAGCUCAGAUCUUGAUCUCAGGGUCUUGAUCUCAGGCCCAUGGUGGGCUCCAUGCUAGGUGUGGAGCCUACUUAAAAAAAAAAAAGUCUGUUAUUUGGUUUGUCUCUCUCCUUUUUUCCCUUUGUUUGUUUUGCUUUUUUAAAUUUCACAUAUGAGUGAAAUGAUAUGGUAUUUGUCUUUCUCUGGCUUAUUUCAGUUAGCGUUAUACUCUCUAGAUCAUCCACAUUGUUGCAAAUGGCAAGAUUUCAUUCUUUUUUAUGAUUGAAUAAUAUCCCAUUGUAUAUAUAUAUAUAUACAUACCACAUCCUCUUUAUCCACUCAUCCAUCAGUGGACACGUAGGCUGCUAAUUUUUCUUCUUAACAGGGUCUUUUGCAAUCAUUUUUAGUUUUUUAAAAACAUUUUCAAUUUUGAUGCAGUCCAAUUAUCAAUAUUUCCUUUUGUGGAUGGUGCUUUUGGUGUCAUGUCUAAGAACACUUCACCUAGCCCUAGGUCCUAAAGAUUUUCUAUUUUUUCUAAUUUAUAAUUUUACAUUUAAAUCUAUGAUCCAUUUUGAGUCCAUUUUUAAGGUGUGAGGUUUAGGUUAAGGUUGACCUUUUGUUUAUUCUUUUAUUUUUUAAAGAUUUUAUUUAUUCAUUUGAGACAGAGAGAUACAGAGAGAGAGCGAGAGCAUGAGCAGGGGAGAGGCAGAGGGCGAGGGAGAAGGAGGCUCCCCGCCGAGCCAGGAGCCAGACGUGGGGCCUGAUCCCAGGACCCUGGGAUCAUGACCUGAGCCGAAGGCAGAUGCUUAACCAUCUGAGCCACCCAGGCGCCCCAAGGUUGACCUUUUAAUCUAUGGAUGUUCAAUUGCUGUAGCACUAUUUGUUGAAAAGACUCUCCUUCCUCUGUUGAAAUGCCUUUGCAACUUUGUCAAGACUCAGUUGACCAUCCUUGUGUGGGUCUAUAUUGGGUUCUCUUCUGUUUCAUUGAUCUAUGUGUCUGUCCCUCCACCGACACCACACUGUUUCCAUUACUUCUAGCUAUAUAGUAAGAAUGAAAACUGGGUAGAGUGAUUCUUCCCACUUCAUUCUUUUUCAAAUUUGUUUUAGUUAUUCUAGUUCCUUUGUCUUUUCACAUAAAUUUUAGAAUAAGUUUUUUUUUUUUUAAGUAAUCUCUAUGCCCAGCGUGGGGCUUGAACUCAUGACCCCGAGAUCAAGAGUCUCAUGCUCUACUGAUUGAGCCAGCCAGGCGCCCCUAGAAUAAGCUUUUCCUUACAAAAAAAUCUUGCUGGGAUUUUGAUAGUAAUUGUGCUGAAGCUAUAGAUCAAUUUGGAGGAGAAUUGACAUCUUUAUUAUGUUGAGUCUAAAAUAUAUUUUUAAGUUGUGAACUCAGAAUAUCCAGUCAACAGGAAAAAUCAUCUGCUACUUCCUAUCUGGAGCACUCCUAUUUAUUCAUCCUAGGAUCAUGCUCCUUGUUUGGAGCAUGUCCAUGGAGCAGGUGUCUCCAUGAAAUGCCACAUUUUGUGAAGGAAGUUCACGUAGGAAUAUAUAUAUGAAGGAGUCCAGCUGGGUCUCAUGGCAGCCUAGAUAUUUCAGAGCAACGCUCCUGCUGAAGGCAACCAUAAAAACACACGUAAAUUUAAUGCAGGCAUUCCUCUUCUGAUCCAGUAAGCACCUUCCGGAAGGGUUCUUGUUAGGAAGAGACAGAGGCUUCCUGAAAAUCAAGUCAGUAACUGCCUGUGCAGAAAAUGCAAUAUUCAGUUCAUCUCAAACUUGAAGGAAUAUCUGGAGAUGGGAAUUCAGCUUUAACAAUGAUAAUAAAAAAAAAAAAGACGGUGUGCAAUUCAAUUUUGACAGCGCAGCAACCUGGAACUUGGAGCCUCGCACCCAGCGGGGCAGGAACUUCUCUGUGACCAGAAAGACUAAAACCAUAUGCUGACCAUAGUGGAGUAGAAAGAUGAGCAAACCUACAUCAUGGAUGGCCCAGUGAAACCAGUACCCCAGCCUGAGCUGUCUUCCCCUGCGCCUCUCCUACCAUAAGAAAAAUAAACCCCUGUGCCUCUCACUUUCUUUCCUUUGGGCUGUUUAUUCUUAUAAUCUUUGGCAGGUUGAAUUUUUUUCUAAAUAAAAUAUUGGGAAGCAAACGAACCCACAAAGCUAGUGGGAAAGGGCAGUUCCAAUCUGUCAUGAUACAUAAAUAUUUUUACAUAUAUUUUCCAUCAUAUGAGAUAUUAUCUGCAUGACUGCUUGGCAAAUACGAAAUUUCUUGUUUUACAACUCCUAACUGUAUAUUUUAUUUUAUUUUAAUUUUUAAAAAAGAUUUUAUUUAUUUAUUUGACAGAGACACAGAGAGAGAGGGAACACAAGCAGGGGGAGUGGGAGAGGGAGAGGGAGAAGCAGACUUCCCACCGAGCAGGGAGCCCGAUGCGGGGCUCGAUCCCAGGACCCUGGGAUCACGACCUGAGCCGAAGGCAGAUGUCCAACGACUGAGCCACCCUGUAUAUUUUAUUUUUACUGUUAAAAAGGAGAACACACACACACACAUACACACUCAGGAAAAUGGAGAGCACUGGGCUGUGGGGACACUGCGUUGUCAUAGCGUCACUAUGAUGGAGGUGAGCCCACCACACAGAAACAUCGAGAACCAGUGAUUUACCAGUAACUACCACCGCUCUUGAUUUUCAGUUUUCUUGGUGAGCUGAGUUCUUGUGAGCACCUGACGCUGAGGAAUUGUCUGGCAUCUGCUUCCAAAUCAUCGAGGGGCAGAAGUGGGUCAGGGUACAGACGAAAUGAGAUUGUCCAAUCAGUUGACAGUUGUCGAAGUUGGAUGGUGGGUAUAUCUUUAAAAAAAUAUUCCCUGAGGGUGGAUGCCCAGGAUUGGGUUAGGGAUCAGAGGAUGGGCUCAUUUAUGACUUUUUUUUUUUUAAUUUUAUUUAUCUGACAGAGAGAGAGAGAGCACAAG